rnacentral:lncRNA from 1 species
AUCUAGAUAAGGAUAAGGCUAACAAAUUUUAAACUGAUUCUAAUCUGAUUAGAGUUAGUUAUUGGCAUGGAAAGGGGCUCAUGUUUGGGUGACAAAAUAAAAAAAGGGAGAGGUGGCAUGUAGUAAAAAAAAUAAAAAGAGAGAGUUGCAUCAUAACAACCUUGCUGCCCCCUUCCUCCUCCAUGCCAACUCAUCCUUGUUCCCUCCCUUCCAUGCCCUGUUCCACCUUCAGAUA